GACGAACGCUGGCGGCGUGCUUAACACAUGCAAGUCGAACGGAAAGGCCCUGCUUUUGUGGGGUGCUCGAGUGACGAACGGGUGAGUAACACGUGAGUAACCUGCCCUUGACUUUGGGAUAACUUCAGGAAACUGGGGCUAAUACCGGAUAGGAGCUCCUGCUGCAUGGUGGGGGUGGGAAAGUUUCGGCGGUUGGGGGUGGACUCGCGGCUUAUCAGCUUGUUGGUGGGGUAGUGGCUUAGCAAGGCUUGGACGCGUGGCCGGCCUGAGAGGGUGAGCGGACACAUUGGGACUGAGAUACGGCCCAGACUCCUACGGGAGGCAGCAGUGGGGAAUAUUGCACAAUGGGAGGAAGCCUGAUGCAGCAACGCCGCGUGCGGGAUGACGGCCUUCGGGUUGUAAACCGCUUUCGCCUGUGACGAAGCGUGAGUGACGGUAAUGGGUAAAGAAGCACCGGCUAACUACGUG
rnacentral:rRNA from 1 species